GGACCAGAGAGGGGCUGGAAGACCCAUUUCUGGGACGCACAGAGAAAGCUGUGUGGCUGGAGGGGACACUUCACGUUCUUUUCCAGCCAAAGAGCCUUAGACGUGAAGCGUGAGGUCUGGACUCGGGAGCCACGGUGAGGCCCCAUCCUGCUUCAUCAGAGUUUACUAGGCCACCCCAGGAAGGCGACUCGCCCUCUCCGGGCCCACUUGCACCACCAUCUGCCAGGCCGCAGCUCACUCAGGGGGUGGGCUCCCCAGGAAGAAGGGGGUGCUGUUGAGUGAGCCCAGACCGGUCUCCAACGUGAGGUCCUUACAGGAAUCACCAGAGCGGUCCUGGGAGACGCGCCCCUUGAAGACAGGCUCCAGGCACCCGGCCCCAGCUCCCGCUCUGCGCCAGUGCAGGUGGGGGCGUGCGGUGCGCCCCGUGGGUGGCGGAUGACAGAUGUCCCCUGGGCUGGCGGUCAGGGCGUGGCGAGGGGGGGAGGUGACCUUUCCCCGGAGCCCGGGGUGGGUGGGGGAGGGCUGCGGACAGAGGGCGGGUCGGCACUGGCCCCGGAGCCCCACUCCCUGCUUCCUGGCCGUAGGAUCCUGGACGAGCUGUGUCCCCUCUCUGGGACUCAGUUUCCUCUCCGGGAAAAGGUGAGGAAGCUCUCUGAUAGCGUUCUUCAGGGAUUCAACGGCGAGAUGUGUAGAAAGCCCGCAACUGCUGCCGCCGCUGCUGUUGUCACUGCUAUUAAUUAGUGAGAAACAGAGCAGGAUCGCAAGAGGCGGAGGGCGGGACAGGCCUCCCGGCCGGAAGGAACGGCGUGCGAUUCAGGACACGCGCAUGCGCGCUGAACAAGGAACCUGGGGCGCAGCAGCCUCCGCGGACGCUCCCCUGCCCGGGAGCUGCUCAGCAAGGGCCACAGCACAGGUGCUGCCAGUGUUGCUGGUCCAAGGACCACGCUUUGAGGACCACCGUCUUAGGAGAUUCACUCGGGGGACAUCCUUCUGCUGGAAACCCAGGUUGGAAAAACACCACCGUAUCCCUCAGGAGUAUCUCCAGUGCCUUCCAGCACCGACAGUCGAAGGUUCUUCUGCAUAUCUGACUUGAAUCUCUGCUGCUGCGUUGCUCCUUGGCCAGGGUGGAGACAGUCCGAGGAUUCCAGGGACCCCACUGCUGAAGCCAAGCCUCUAAAAAAGCUCCACUGCACCACCUCCCUCGUAUCGCUGCUUGAUAAAGAAACCGAGGCUAGAGAGCAGAGGAAACGACUCAUCCAAGGUCACACAGACAAGACCCAGACGUUUGAUGGUCCCUGAGAGGGAAAAUCCCACAGCCAAGCCACAGAGGACAGAAGCCACGUUAGCUCUGACACCCGCCAGCUCGGGCUCCCCUUCUCUCUGCGGAGCCCCUGGGGCCCCGCCCCUACCAGAUGCUUUCAGAUGCUUCUCUACCCGCUGCAAGGAAUCUGCUCACCUCUCCUGAGCCAGGAAAUCGUGCCCAGGGGAUCUCUGCAUGUGAUCUGGAACAAGUUCCCUCCUCCCUGAGCCUCUGUCUCCCUGUCUGUAAAGUGGGAGGGCUGGGCUAGAAUUCGGGGUCCCCCAAGCGCAGGCCCAUCUGAGCCAGGUGAGGAAUGCAUAGCAGACACCGUGAUUCACCUGGCAGGAGAGUCAUUCUUGCCUUAGCCCCCUUUCUCUCCUGGCUCCCCAGCCGUCUGACACUUGUCCCCCCCGUUCAGCCGAGUUCAGAGCUGGCGCCAGGCACACGCUCCGAUCGCAUCAGGUGUUUUGUUGCCUUUCUUUUAAGGUAAACUUCCGUUUAGAGCAAACCGUCUUGUGUACGAUAUAGAGUGGUUUUCUUUAAGUGAAAGGGUGAUGGAUUUGAAGGACGCUUGGUUUAAGUAGGGCAGGUAGGAACCCAGCUUCUUGGAAGCCCACGUUUCUGGGUCCCACCGUGGAAGUGAGACGGGGGGGGGGGGGAGGGGCACACCUAGGUGUGCCCCUGCAGAUGGCCUGAUGGAGUCAGAUGAGCAGACAGCACCGGUUUCUAGUGGAAAAGAAGAGGAAGCAGCAUCUUGGGGAGCCCUACCUGUCCCCCCAGAAUUCAUGGUCCCAGGGCUGCAGGGCAAGUGGAAACUUCCUGGUGGUUCAAGACGAGGCAUGGGGGUCGGGACCCGGGAUCCAAGAGGGCCCCUUGCCUCGGUUUAUCACACAAUCUACAGUCCCCUGUGACCUUCCUGCCCAGGGCAGCCCCGGGAGGUGUCCACGACCCGCCCCAGCUCAGGCCGGGAGGCACAAAAGGACCACUCGCGUGAGUGGACAGAUCGGCUAUCUCAUCAGGCUUCACGGCGCACCUGUGACCAUCUCACAGCCGAAAACCCUGCGCGAGGCCACAGACGGCCAAACGGCCAAGUGCGAGGGAGCCCAAAGGGCUCAGCCACACGGAGGAAAUUUCCAUGGCAGGAAUUAGGAAUAUGGUUUUGAGGAAUAAUGACACGGGAAGAUAGAAGAUGUUGAAAGUAAGAUGUUGAGGACAACAGAGCAAGAUGUGAACUAUACACGACACGCUCUCCGUUUUAUUUCUCCAUCAAUGCCUUACCAGUGUUCUACCGUGGGCACGCAUUCCCUCACAAUCAGAAAAAAAAGAAAAAAGGUGAUCUGAAGAAAACAGAAAGAUUGGUCACGUGUCCCUGGUUGCAUAGUAAUCAAGCUGCCAAGCGGGCUCUGUGUGUCCUCCGACCUAGAGAACGAUGCUUUUCAGGAUGAAGCUGGGGUCACAAGAGAUACUUUUCUCUUAAAAAAGAAAGAAAGAAGGAAAAACAAACUUUUAAAGGUCCACGAAUAUCAUCUACACUCCCAGCUAACGCCAGGGGGCUUUUACGAGGUAAAGAUGACUCAUGAAUCUCUGUGAAAUAUCCAGAGGGUGUUUUGAUUUAAAUGCCCCCCAUCAGCGCUCUGAGCUCGGGGACGUCACCACGGGGGGUGGAGGAGGUCACCUGGAAGAGACAGCACCCCUU